UUCCAGUAAGCAUCACGUCUGGCAUUCCUUUCCCAGUGAUUUCCUCGUCCUUGUUUUGCUUUCUCUCCGUGUUUUCCCCCUGGUUCAUGCCCUUUUGUAUUUCCACAGUGACUCUCCUGACCUCCGUGAUCGUGCCUUGUCACUCGACACCCAUCCGGAUUUCUAACAGCCCUCCUCGAUCCACGACCUCCCUGCUCGGACCUAGACCACGCUGCCCUGCUCUUGCCCACGACCACUUGCCUGUCCACGAACUGCCUCUUCGCCUUUCCCCUUGGAUAACGACGAAACAUACAACCAACAUUUACAGACAACAACCCUUGGUAACAUUUACAUUAUUAAUUUUACACAUAGUCAACACUCACUCACUUUGAGUAGCAUACACACGCCACGUAUUCAUCAAAGGUUUCAAAUAAACCUUGUAAACCUCAGUCCUGCCCUGGUUGUCGCCUCCUUCCCUUCUCUGAUACACAACAGUACGUUCUGGCCAACAUGUCGGAAACAGGCGACAGCAGCAAGCCCCAGGCCCAGAUAGCCAUAUCUUACGACCUAGCUAUCCUUAGCUCCGUCGUUAGCGAACACCAGGUUCGGUUUACUGCCCUUGAGGAUCAUCUUGAGAGAGCUUUUACCAGACUUUAUUCCAAGCUGGACAACAUGUGCUCCGGGGCCAGUUCUGGACCGGUGGUACCUCCACGUGCUUCUCCAGUUCCUGGACCCGAAUACAGCAUUCUGGAACGAGAGCCCAGGAUUGCCAGCCCUAAACCCUUUGAAGGGGACUUUGAACUUUGUAGAGGGUUUUUGGUACAAUGUGACCUCAUUUUUCGGCACCAGCCCUCCCGUUAUUCCUCAGACGGCGCCAAGAUUGCAUUUAUUUUCUCCUUACUUUCCGGCCCGGCUCUCAAGUGGGCUACUGGUGCAGUCGACAGGACCAUUGGGCUCAACGCCGACUAUUCUGCGUUCCGUGCAGAAUUUCGGGCUGUCUUUGAUCACCCCAAGGAUGGGGGGGACGCGGCUGGACGUCUACACUCCAUUUCGCAGGGUUCACGUUCCGUGGCAGCCUAUACCCUGGAAUUCCGGACCCUGGCGGCGGACAGCGGUUGGGGGGACCGGGCGCUCCAAAGCGCAUUCCGCCGCGGCCUCUCUGAAGAGAUUAAGGACGGUCUACUGAGAGACAGACCUACUUCCUGCAAGGACCUCAUCGAACUAGCCCUCCAAUUUGACCUAAGACUUUGUGAGCGAGCAGCAGAACGAAACCAGAGAACUACCUCAAUGGCAGUCCUGGUGAGCCAUACUUUAUUUCCCCGUAAUGAGGAAAACCCCGACAUACUGCUACCCGCUAUUCUGGCCUGGGACCAGAGGAGCAUUCAAGUACAGGCAUUUGUGGACUCUGGAGCUGAUGAAAGUCUUUUGGACUACAAGUUCGCCCAGCAGAUGGGCAUUCCCCUGAUCUCUCUGGACAAGACGCUGCCAGCACAGGCCCUGGAUGGACGGCCAUUGGGCCCCAUCAAUUACCGCACUGAGCCCCUUUCCAUGACCAUUUCUGGAAAUCACAGAGAGACCAUUAGUUUAUGGGUGCUGGAAGCUCCGGUAGCCCCGCUGGUACUUGGAAGAUCUUGGCUUCGUCACCACAACCCUCAUAUCUCUUGGUCUUCCGGCAAAAUUCUGGCAUGGAGCACACCCUGCAUGGCCAACUGUCUUGGAUCAGCAUCUCAUCCGGUCUACCAUUCCACUACCACGACUCCCCAAGUAGAUCUAUCUCUGGUUCCAGCUUGCUACCAUGACUUAGCCGAGGUCUUCAGCAAGGUACGUGCCCUGGGACUACCCCCUCAUAGACCUUAUGAUUGUGCCAUCGAUUUACUCCCUAACGCUACUUUACCGUCUAGUCGCCUAUACAAUUGAUCUCUGCCAGAGAAAGAAGCUAUGAGGAACUAUAUCACCGAGGGCCUUGCCUCAGGCAUCAUUACACCAUCCAAGUCUCCACUGGCGGCGGGAUUCUUUUUCGUUGCCAAGAAGGACGGAUCCCUUCGUCCCUGCAUUGACUACCGUCACCUUAACAACAUCACAAUUAAGAAUAAGUACCCUCUUCCACUACUCAACUCAUCUUUUGAACCUUUGGCACCUGCUACCAUAUUUACCAAACUGGAUCUUCGUAACGCCUAUCACCUGGUCCGGAUCAAAGAGGGGGACGAGUGGAAGACGGCUUUCAACACUCAUAUGGGGCAUUAUGAGUAUCGGGUGAUGCCUUUUGGACUCACCAACGCACCUGCAGUUUUUCAAACUCUUGUCAAUGACAUUCUUCGGGACAUGCUGGACCAAUUCGUGGUAGUAUACCUCGAUGAUAUUCUAAUUUUCUCCCGUAACCUCUCUGAUCACCAGAAACAUGUUCGACUUGUCCUGCAACGUCUUUUGGAAAACUGUCUAUUUGUUAAGGCUGAAAAGUGCUGCUUCCACUCCUCUUCGGUGGAGUUCCUCGGAUUCGUGGUUGAAAAGGGUCACAUAAGGCCAGACCCGAAGAAGGUGGAGGCCGUGGUGAAGUGGCCGCAACCCACUAAUAGGACGGAACUUCGGAGGUUCCUCGGCUUCGCUGGCUUCUACCGCCGAUUCAUUCAAGACUUCAGUAGAGUUGCGGCACCACUCCAUUCACUCACGUCUACAAACGUUCCUUUUGUGUGGACUCUUUUGGCGAGGAAGGCCUUCGAGGAGUUAAAGGAGCGUUUUGUUUCUGCCCCCAUUCUAGUCCAUCCCAACUUAGAUACUGCUUUUUUGGUGGAGGUUGAUGCCUCAGACUCAGGGAUUGGGGCUAUUCUCUCUCAACGGUCAAAGAAUGACAAUUUGGUUCACCCUGUUGCUUUUUUCUCCAGGCGCCUGACCACGGCCGAACAGAAUUAUGAUGCUCGGAAUAGAGAAUUACUGGCGGUCCAUGAGGCCCUGGUGGAAUGGAGACACUGGUUGGAAGGAGCUAGACACCAGUUUCAGAUCCUUACCGACCACAGCAACCUCCUACACAUCCGAGCUGCCAAGAGGAUCAACAAUCGCCAGGCAAGGUGGCAGCAAUUUUUCUCUCGCUUCAAUUACGUGCUUUCUUUCAGACCUGGGUCCAAGAACACUAAGGCUGACGCACUGUCUCGGCUAUUUCUGAAAGAACCUACCGGUCCGGCAGUGGCAGAACCCAUCCUUCCUCCCACUUGCAUCAUACGGAUGGUAACUUGGAAAGUGGAGGACCUGGUUAAGUCUGCACUGCAUUCCAAUCCAGGACCGGGAGGUGGACCUCCCAACAGACUGUUCGUCCAUCGGGAGCUACGACCCAGGGUCCUGGAUUGGGGGCACUCAAGCCUGUUCUCAUGCCAUCCUGGCUUUCAACGAACCCUAUCACUGCUGCGAAGACGUUUUUGGUGGCCAUCCAUGGCCAAGGACACUCGGGAGUUUAUCACUGCUUGUUCAACUUGUGCCCGCAGUAAGACGUCACACAGGCCUCCUGCUGGUCUUCUUCGCCCUCUCUCCAUUCCUGCCCGUCCUUGGUCGCACAUUGCCCUAGAUUUUGUCACGGGAUUUCCAGCUUCCAGAGGUAACACCACGAUCCUUACAAUUGUUGAUCGUUUCUCCAAAGCAGCCCAUUUCAUUCCGCUGCGCAAGUUACCUACUGCUUCAGAGACUUCUGACCUCCUCACACUUCACGUCGUCAAGCAGCAUGGUAUUCCGGUGGAUAUUGUUUCUGACCGAGGCCCUCAGUUUACGUCGCAAGUAUGGAGAGCUUUCUGCAAGGGAAUCGGGGCCUCGGUCAGCCUCACAUCGGGAUAUCAUCCCCAAAGCAACGGGCAGGCCGAGAGAGCGAAUCAAAGCUUGGAGACCAUGCUCCGAUGUGUCGCCAGUCGUCAACCCACAUCCUGGAGCAAGUUUCUGCCAUGGGUGGAGUUUUCCUAUAACUCCUUGAAGAGCUCCGCUACCGGUAUGUCUCCAUUUGAGUGCUCAUUAGGUUAUCAACCCCCUUUGUUUCCCCAACAAGAACUGGAGAUCGCUGUACCGUCUACUAGAGCUGACGGUGUCAGAGGGUGUGGAGAGCCGCUCGUGCAGCUUUGGAAAGAGCAUCCGAGAAAAUGUGUCGCAACGCCAACCGUCAUCGCAUUCCAGCUCCGUCCUAUAAACCAGGACAACAAGUUAUGCUUCUCACUAAGGACCUCAGCCUCCAGGUACCUUCUAAGAAAUUGGCUCCACGUUAUGUUGGUCCGUUCUCCAUCAUGUCUAUCAUAAAUCCUGUAUCAGUUAAAUUGGCUCUCCCACCCUCGGUCAAGCGGCAUCCAGUGGUCCAUGUUUCCCAGAUUAAACCGGUAGCGGAGAGCGCUCUGUCCCCUCCUGUCCCUGCCCCCCCACCCUCUAGGUUCUUACCCAAUGGAGAUCAGGUUUGGUCGGUUAAGGAGAUCCUCAGGGUCCGUCGACAAGGUAGGGGGCUCGUUUAUUUGGUCGACUGGGAGGGAUAUGGACCUGAAGACAGAUCUUGGGUGCCAGCCUCCUACCUUGCCGAUCCCUCACUUCUAGAGGAUUUCUACCGUGCCAAUCCUGAUGCUCCCCGGCGCUCGUCGGAGGCCUCGCAUAAGGGGGGGGGGGUACUGUCAUGACGCGGAGUCGAACCCACGUUUCCUCUGCAGCUGGAGCUGCGGGCACUUCUGUUAACCCCUCUGCUGGCAGCACACUCAGACACACCUCUGCUCGCGCUGAGCACAACACGCCCACACAGCAACAAGCCUGCAAGCAAUCAGUCAUCAGAGCACCUGGACCUGACGAGGGGGAGCGGCAUAAAGACCAGCGGACCCAAGGAACCUUUGCCAGAACGUCGCUAACCUUCCAUGACUCUCCUGACCUCCGUGAUCGUGCCUUGUCACUCGACACCCAUCCGGAUUUCUAACUGCCCUCCUCGAUCCACGACCUCCCUGCUCGGACCUAGACCACGCUGCCCUGCUCUUGCCCACGACCACUUGCCUGUCCACGAACUGCCUCUUCGCCUUUCCCCUUGGAUAACGACGAAAGAUACAACCAACAUUUACAGACAACAACCCUUGGUAACAUUUACAUUAUUAAUUUUACACAUAGUCAACACUCACUCACUUUGAGUAGCAUACACACGCCACGUAUUCAUCAAAGGUUUCAAAUAAACCUUGUAAACCUCAGUCCUGCCCUGGUUGUCGCCUCCUUCCCUUCUCUGAUACACAACAGAAAGCAAGCGAAAAGAGCGAUGCAGCAGUUAAAGCUAUAGCUACAUGAUAGGAAAGCCAACACCUCCUUCUCCCACCAAAGACAGGAGAAAUAGCAUGGGCUCACCCCUCAGAGGUCCA